UCCCUUGUAGCUUAGUCAGUAAAGAAUCUGCCUGCAAUGCAGAAGAUCCUGGCUGGAUUCCUGGGUGGGGAA
rfam:TPA: Bos taurus chromosome 21, whole genome shotgun sequence.